UAGCAACCAAUGAGUACCCAGCUAGUUAAGUGUCUUGUUGGAUUUAGAACAAAUGGGCUUUCGGAAACUAACGUGUGAAAAGAGCUUCUGUGUUGCCAACUGACAUAACAACAAAGUUCCUUCUCACAGCCCACACAGAAACCACAAAGCAAGCAAGCAAUCAUCCCUCCAGCACCAGGCGAGGCUAUAACCACAGCAACGCUUUUCCGAACCAAAGACCCCCUGAGAACCAGAACUCCAUUUCCUCUUGAUUCGUCCAGCUUGUGUGCCAAGAACCAGCAGCUAUCCCUGAGACAUCAGGGCCCUCCCUUUCCACUGGCGACAUUGAAAUGUCUGCAGACACCUGCUCGAAUUGACAGAGAAACGAGAGCAGGGAGCCACGGCAGGCAGUCACGGUGCCGACAGAGUCCCCGACAACUGGAACCACAGAGCAACCAAUAACUGGUAUGGUUCUAUCUCCCAAGCUCUUCCACGAGCUCUUAGUCAUUUAGAGACGGAGUUUCUGUCCUCCUCGUCCUGCCAUGUCUGUAUUUUCUAUCCAUUACCUCCCACCAAGGGGUGAACAAAGAAAAGAAAGUAAAACUUAGUUCUGUCAA